UACAGAGGUCUCAAGCGUUGUUCGGAUUCAUUGGGCGUAAAGGGUGCGUAGGCGGCGAGGCAAGUCUGGUGUGAAAUCCCGGGGCUCAACCCCGGAACUGCACUGGAUACUGCUUUGCUAGAGUACUGGAGAGGGAACUGGAAUUUACGGUGUAGCAGUGAAAUGCGUAGAUAUCGUAAGGAAGACCAGCGGCGAAGGCGAGUUCCUGGACAGUUACUGACGCUGAGGCACGAAGGUCAGGGGAGCAAACGGG
rnacentral:rRNA from 1 species